UAGGGAAUCUUCCGCAAUGGACGCAAGUCUGACGGAGCAACGCCGCGUGAGUGAAGAAGGAUUUCGGUUCGUAAAACUCUGUUGUUAGAUAAGAACAGCGCAUAGAGUAACUGUUAUGCGUGUGACGGUAUCUAACCAGAAAGCCACGGCUAACUACGUGCCAGCAGCCGCGGUAAUACGUAGGUGGCAAGCGUUGUCCGGAUUUAUUGGGCGUAAAGCGAGCGCAUGCGGUCAAUUAAGUCUGAUGUGAAAGCCCCCGGCUCAACCGGGGAGGGUCAUUGGAAACUGGUUGACUUGAGUGCAGAAGAGGAGAGUGGAAUUCCAUGUGUAGCGGUGAAAUGCGUAGAUAUAUGGAGGAACACCAGUGGCGAAGGCGACUCUCUGGUCUGUAACUGACGCUGAGGUUCGAAAGCGUGGGUAGCAAACAGG
rnacentral:rRNA from 1 species